GGCCAGUUAGCUCAGUUGGUUAGAGUGUGGUGCUAAUAUCGCCAAGGUCACGGGUUCGAUCCCCGUACGGGCCA